UACAGAGGGUGCAAGCGUUGUUCGGAAUUAUUGGGCGUAAAGCGCGUGUAGGCGGCUUUGCAAGUCGGGUGUGAAAUCCCUCAGCUUAACUGAGGAAGUGCGCCCGAAACUGCCGAGCUUGAGUACCGGAGAGGGUGGCGGAAUUCCCCCAAGUAGAGGUGAAAUGCGUAGAUAUCGGGAGGAACACCAGUGGCGAAGGCGACUACCUGGCCUGUUCUUGACGCUGAGGCGCGAAAGCUAGGGGAGCAAACGGGG
rnacentral:rRNA from 1 species